rnacentral:tRNA from 1 species
GGGCCUGUAGCUCAGUUGGUUAGAGCAGCGGACUCAUAAUCCGUCGGUCGUAGGUUCGAGUCCUACCGGGCCCACCA